rnacentral:rRNA from 2 species
GUGCUUAACACAUGCAAGUCGAACGGAAAGGUCUCUUCGGAGAUACUCGAGUGGCGAACGGGUGAGUAACACGUGGGCGAUCUGCCCUGCACUUCGGGAUAAGCCUGGGAAACUGGGUCUAAUACCGGAUAGGACCACGGGAUUCAUGUCCUGUGGUGGAAAGCUUUUGCGGUGUGGGAUGGGCCCGCGGCCUAUCAGCUUGUUGGUGGGGUAACGGCCUACCAAGGCGACGACGGGUAGCCGGCCUGAGAGGGUGUCCGGCCACACUGGGACUGAGAUACGGCCCAGACUCCUACGGGAGGCAGCAGUGGGGAAUAUUGCACAAUGGGCGCAAGCCUGAUGCAGCGACGCCGCGUGGGGGAUGACGGCCUUCGGGUUGUAAACCUCUUUCACCAUCGACGAAGGUUCGGGUUUUCUCGGAUUGACGGUAGGUGGAGAAGAAGCACCGGCCAACUACGUGCCAGCAGCCGCGGUAAUACGUAGGGUGCGAGCGUUGUCCGGAAUUACUGGGCGUAAAGAGCUCGUAGGUGGUUUGUCGCGUUGUUCGUGAAAUC